UGAGGGAAUAUUUGGGGUCAAUGGGCGAGAGCCUGAACCAGCCAAGUAGCGUGCAGGACGACGGCCCUAUGGGUUGUAAACUGCUUUUUGCGCGGGGAUAAAGUGCGCCACGUGUGGCUCAUUGCAGGUACCGCGCGAAUAAGGACCGGCUAAUUCCGUGCCAGCAGCCGCGGUAAUACGGAAGGUCCGGGCGUUAUCCGGAUUCAUUGGGUUUAAAGGGAGCGCAGGCCGCCCCUUAAGCGUGUUGUGAAAUGCCGCGGCUCAACCGUGGCACUGCAGCGCGAACUGGGGGGCUUGAGUGCGCGCAGCGCAGGCGGAACUCGUGGUGUAGCGGUGAAAUGCUUA
rnacentral:rRNA from 1 species